rnacentral:misc_RNA from 1 species
UUAAGUUCAGCGGGUAUCCCUACCUGAUCCGAGGUCAAACGAUUGAUAUCUUAAUGGAUGUAGACUAUAAGAAGGAACGCAAAUGUGCUGCGCUGAACUACUAAUAAUCUGCUGCCAAUAAAUUUGAGGCAAGUCCUUGCGGACAACGCCCAACACCAAGCAAAGCUUGAAGGUUCAAAUGACGCUCGAACAGGCAUGCC